rnacentral:rRNA from 1 species
ACCACCUUCGGGUGGGGAUUAGUGGCGAACGGGUGAGUAACACGUGGGCAAUCUGCCCUUCACUCUGGGACAAGCCCUGGAAACGGGGUCUAAUACCGGAUACUGACCUGCCAAGGCAUCUUGGCGGGUCGAAAGCUCCGGCGGUGAAGGAUGAGCCCGCGGCCUAUCAGCUUGUUGGUGAGGUAAUGGCUCACCAAGGCGACGACGGGUAGCCGGCCUGAGAGGGCGACCGGCCACACUGGGACUGAGACACGGCCCAGACUCCUACGGGAGGCAGCAGUGGGGAAUAUUGCACAAUGGGCGAAAGCCUGAUGCAGCGACGCCGCGUGAGGGAUGACGGCCUUCGGGUUGUAAACCUCUUUCAGCAGGGAAGAAGCGAAAGUGACGGUACCUGCAGAAGAAGCGCCGGCUAACUACGUGCCAGCAGCCGCGGUAAUACGUAGGGCGCAAGCGUUGUCCGGAAUUAUUGGGCGUAAAGAGCUCGUAGGCGGCUUGUCACGUCGGUUGUGAAAGCCCGGGGCUUAACCCCGGGUCUGCAGUCGAUACGGGCAGGCUAGAGUUCGGUAGGGGAGAUCGGAAUUCCUGGUGUAGCGGUGAAAUGCGCAGAUAUCAGGAGGAACACCGGUGGCGAAGGCGGAUCUCUGGGCCGAUACUGACGCUGA